GAGAGAGGGUGGGUGGAGAGUGAAAUCAUACCAACAGAAAGCAAACAAUGGUCUUCAGGAGGAACCGAGACAGGAGUGGGAAACACUUCAGAAGCAGAGGGGGAACUCUGGGGGCGGUGGGCUCAGGGUCCACGCCGGCCCCCCCUCGCUUCUUAUGAAAGCAUUUUUUCAGAAUAACGAACGUCCAAAACAUCGGCCUAGUCGUGGCUCAAGAUAGCGGGGAGAUUGUGUCUAGAAAACUUUUUGUCUGGGGAUGAAAAAAACAGGAAAAUGAAGUUGAAUUGGCAUAUAGUGUUUAUUAAAUACUUUGGGUGCUAAAGAAGUGCCAGCCACCUCCGUGUCCUUUUUUAACAAACCUUUCUUCAACUCACUGCAUCCUUCUGAAAACAGGCCUGUGGUAUCUCCACUGCGAUGCAUUAAACAUUGACCUCUAGAGCUGCAGCUCGAGGCUUUCACCCAAAGUGGCUCAGUGAGGCUGAGAGCCGUCAGAGGGAGGCUGAGAGGUGUCAGAGGGAGGCCGAGAGCCGACAGAGGGAGGCCGAGAGGCGUCAGAGGGAGGCCGAGAGCCGACAGAGGGAGGCCGAGAGGCGUCAGAGGGAGGCCGAGAGCCGACAGAGGGAGGCCGAGAGCCGACAGAGGGAGGCCGAGAGCCGACAGAGAGAGGCUGCGAUCGAUGGCAGAGCGCCCGCUCGGCCAUCAGUGCUGCGCGGUCGAGUCUGUCCCACGAGGCCCGACGAGAGGGCGGGGGGCUGCUGAGAGUUUAACUGAUGGCCGUCUUCAGUCGAGGGUUAACUACACGGUCAGCACCCCUGAACACGGGUAAAGAAGCGAUGGAAGAAAAGUGCAAUGUCAUGAUGCCAUGUGUGAAAUAUAGCAGAGGCCUAUCAUGUAGUUUAUGAAUACAGAUAUCAUCAAACUGCUGAAUUAUAUUUGCCCACUUCAACCUCUGCCUGUUGCCUAGAUACAUCCUAUAAUAGAUAUGUUUUGUAAUAUAUCACCCCUAUUAUCCCUUUCUUUAAUGUUCCUGUGUACACAUUUGUUAACAAUAAGGUAUGAUAUAUGAGUAUUACCCAGGCUCCUUAGCGUUCUAAC
ensembl:lncRNA